CGAACACGGAAGUUAAGCCCUCCUUGGCUGAUGAUACUUGGGCUGCGAGGCCCUGGGAAAGUAAGUAGCUGCCGGAU
rnacentral:rRNA from 1 species